AUGCGCCCAUAUGCCGGCUGUCUCUCCGUGCGCGCGUUGACAGCCUGCCAGCCAGCGAGCCGAGAGAGGAAAAAAAAUCAUCCGAGAGCAGAGGAGAGGGGCAGAGAGAUGUCGGCCAUGGCGGACGCGGAGGCUCCCUUCCUGCUGCACGCUGAAGACGACGAGGCGGCGCCGCUCGCCGGCGUCUCCGACUUCCGCGGCCGCCCCGUGCGCCGCGCCGGGUCCGGCGGCUGGCGCUCCGCCCUCUUCGUCUGCGUGGUGGAGAUCGCGGGCAGCUUCGCCUACUUCGGCGUGUCGGCCAACCUGAUCACGUACCUGACGGGGCCGCUGGGCCACUCCAACGCCGCCGCGGCAGCCGCCGUGAACGCCUGGUCGGGGACGGCCUGCCUCAUGCCGCUGCUGGGCGCCUUCGUCGCCGACUCGUGGCUCGGCCGCUACCGUUCAAUCAUCGUCGCCUGCACCCUCUACGUCCUGGGAUAUGGCAUGAUGACUCUAGUCACCACGCUCCAGACGCAGCGGUCAUCGCCGGCCGGCGACACUCAUUCCUCUUCCGGCCCUUCGUCGAUGCAGGUGGCCCUCUUCUACGCCUCGCUCUACCUCAUUCCUCUCGCACAGGGAUCCGACAAGCCAUGCGGCCUAGCCUUCGCCGCUGACCAGUUCGAUGCCGACCACCCCAAAGAGCGUGCGUCCCGCAGCUCCCUGUUCAACUGGUGGUACUUCUCGAUGGCCAUCGGCAUCUCUGUCGCCGUCGCUGUCGUCAGCUACAUCCAGGAGAACGUCGGCUGGGGGAUCGGCUUCGGCAUGCUAUGUGCCAUCAUGUUAUGCGCCUUCGCUGUCUUCCUCUCCGGCACACCCACCUACCGCCUCUAUGCACCCACCCCGGGCGCCGAGAGCCCCUUCGCCCGCCUCGGUCGCAGCCUCGUGGCGCUCAUGAAGAGCUCGAGCUUAUUUCGUACAAAAGGAUGCCAAGACGAAGAAGUCGCGGCCAAGUCAGAGGAGGCGCGCGGCGUGCUGCGACUGCUACCUAUCUGGGCGGCGUGCCUGGCAUACGGUGUGGCAUACGCGCAGAUCAUGACGCUCUUCAACAAGCAGGGCCGCACCCUAGACCGGCGCGUCUUCGGCGGCCUGGAGCUACCCCCGGCGGCGCUUCAGACGCUAGGGCCAGCAAGCAUCCUGUUGUUCGUCCCCAUCUACGACCGCCUGCUGGUGCCGGCACUGGGGCGCGCGACGGGCAAGCCGUCGGGGCUGACUCUUCUGCAGCGCGUGGGCGUGGGCAUGGUGGUGUCGAUGGGCGCGGUGAUCGUGGCAGCACUGGUGGAGGGCCGGCGGCUGGAGACGGCGCGUGAGCACGGGCUGGUGGACGACGCCGGCGCGACGGUGCCGAUGAGCUGGGCGUGGCUGGUGCCGCAGUACGCGAUGAUGGGCGUGGCGGACGUGCUGACGGUGGUGGGCCUGCAAGAGUUCUUCUACGACCAGAUGCCCCGCGAGCUGCGCAGCCUCGGCCUGGCGCUCUACUUCAGCGUCAUGGGCAUCGGCGGGUUCAUCAGCAGUGCCCUCAUCUCCUUCAUCGACCGUGUCACCAGGAGCGGCGGCGGGGACGGCUGGUUUGCUGACAACCUGAACCGCGCCCACCUCGACUACUUUUACUGGUUGCUCGCAGCGCUCUCGGCAGCUGAGCUCGUGCUCUUCGUGUGGCUCGCCAGCUCCUACACCUACAACAACAACAACCACAAGAGGCUUCAGAAAUGA
rnacentral:rRNA from 1 species